UACAAACUUCUCCAAAUUCUAGACUUUAUGCAAAAUCUUGUGUCACUUGACUAUGCUACGUGAACAUUUUUAACCACAAUCUAUUGAUUUUGAAAGAAAAAAAUAAGUAACACGUCGGAAGUUGCACUUGCACGAAAAUCAGUCGACGGUGGAAUAGUCAACUAACUUCGGCUGAGACAGCGUGAGGGAUGUCGUCGCUUACGGUGGUCACCGAUUCCGGCGAACGAGCUCCGCUUCUUUGUAUUUCUUCGCCAGAAUUGUCGCACUCGCACCCUAGGGAUGGAGAAAUAGUCUCUUCGUCCUCGGACGAGAUUGCCGUAUCAAAACCUACGCUCAGUGAUCCCAAACAACGUUUAGUCUCUCUCGAUGUCUUUAGAGGCCUUACCAUCGCUUUAAUGAUUUUGGUUGAUGAUGCUGGAAAGGCUUUCCCGUCCAUAAACCACUCUCCAUGGUUCGGAGUGACCCUUGCUGACUUUGUGAUGCCAUUUUUCCUAUUUAUCGUUGGUGUUUCUGCAAGUUUAGUAUUCAAGAAAGUUUCCUGCAAGCCACAAGCUACAAAAAAAGUCUUACUGAGGACAGUUAAGCUCUUUAUUUUGGGAGUAGUCCUUCAAGGUGGGUAUUUCCACGGCCGCAACAACCUGAGUUAUGGAGUUGAUAUUGCUAAAAUUAGAUGGAUGGGAGUGUUACAGAGGAUUUCCAUCGGUUAUUUAUUUGCUUCAAUCCUGGAAAUUUGGUUUGCCAAUGAUUAUCCUGUUGAUUCAUCAAAGGCAUUUAUCAGGAGAUACUUCUUCCAAGCGCUGGCUGGAAUGUUAAUUGGUUUGUCGUACCUGAUUUUGGUAUAUGGCCUCUAUGUUCCAGACUGGUUCUUUGAAAUAUCUAGUCUUAACAUGGAAUCACGAUCACCAGUUUCAGGAUAUCGAUUGAGUACUCAAACUGUUAACUGUGGAGUGAGGGGCAGUCUCGAACCUCCUUGCAAUGUUGUUGGUCUGAUUGAUAGGCUUCUUCUUGGUGAAAAACACCUUUAUCAACGUCCUGUCUACAGAAGAACCAAGGAAUGCAGUGUCAACUCUCCUGAUUAUGGACCUCCACCAUCAAAUGCACCUGGAUGGUGCCUUGCUCCAUUUGACCCUGAAGGAAUCUUAAGUUCUUUGAUGGCAACCGUUACGUGUCUUGUGGGCUUGCAUUUCGGCCACAUUUUUGUGCAUGUUAAAGAUCACCGGCAGAGGGUAAUCUUUUGGUCUGUAUUUUCUGUAUUUCUAACACUUGCAGGAUAUGUAUUGGAGCUUGCAGGUGUUCCUCUUUCUAAACCGCUUUACACAUUGAGCUAUAUGUUCAUCACGGCUGGAGUAUCCGGUUUGCUCUUAGUAGUUCUUUAUUACAUUGUUGAUGUCAAAUGUUUUCAGAAGCCAAUGAUAUUAUUUCAGUGGAUGGGAAUGAAUGCUCUCAUCCUCUAUGCUAUGGCUGCUUGUGACCUCUUUUCUGGGGCAGUUCAAGGUUUCUAUUGGUAUUCACCUGAAAACAACUUGGUUGACAUUACAGAAAGGUUCAUUCAAGCAGCAUUUAAUUC
rnacentral:misc_RNA from 1 species